rnacentral:rRNA from 1 species
AAACUGGUUGAUCCUGCCAGUAAGAUACCCUUUUCCCGAGGAUUUAGCCAUGCAGGCGGCACAGCAAUGGGCACAGACGGCUCAGGAACCGGAUUUGAUGCGAGCUUGAAGAUGGAAAACCGCGGCAAACCGAGGCCUAGUUUGAGCAGCAGAGUCCGACUUAACAGCUAGUCGGUUGGGUAUUGGCCAACUGAGGCGAUGACGGGUACGGGGAGUGAAAGCUUUUACCGGAGAGGGAGGAUGAGAGAAGGCUACCAGGAUUAAGGUCAGCAGCAGGCGAGAAAAUUGCCCAAUGCGCAAGCGAGGCAGCGAAGGGAAGUUUCACGGUUGUUUGUAGCAGGUACGACGUAGAAUUGGAGGGCAAGACUGGUGCCAGCAGCCGCGGUAAUACCAGCUCCGAGAGGGUAUUUUAGAGAUGAUGCAGUUAAAAUGCGUUUUGCUUGAGAAUAUGCGCAAUACUUUAAAUGUUGCUUGAGAGAGUCAGGACAAGUAAUUGCAAGUAGAAUUUGAAGAACGGGCGGGGGGCAAAUGGAUUUAGCCGCGAGGGGUGGAAUCUCACGACCGGCUACGGACAGACAGAGGCGAAGGCGUUUGCCAAGAACGUGUUUGAUAGCAUCGCGCGAAGGCGAGGGGAGCGAAGACGAUUAGAUACCGUUGUAGUCCUGGCAGUAAAUAAGCCACGCAGGUAUGGGACACCAUAUCGACACAGAAAUGAGGAACCGGUUCUGGGGGGAGUAUGGUCGCAAGGCAGGAACUUGAAGGAAUUGACGGAAGGGCACACCAGGAGUGGAGUCUGCGGCUUAAUUCGACUCAACGCGGGAAAGCUUACCACAAUUGAUCAGCGCAGAAGAGACGGAUGUUGAUGGGUUGGCAGGUAGUGCAUGGCCGUUGUUUGUUGGUGAAGUGAUUUGUCAUGUUAAGUCAGGUAACGGACGAGAUCUCGGACACAGAAGCCUACGGCUUAGGAAGGCGAGGCGAUAACAGGUCAGGGAUGCUCUUUAUUGUGGGCCGCACGCGGAUUACAAUUCGGUAUUCAGCGAGUGUAGGGGAUUGCAUGCUGGCAGGCGUGCAUGAACACGGAAUUCCUAGUAGCAUUGCGAGAGCAACGAUGUGCGAAUAAGUCCCUGCUCUUUGUACACACCGCCCGUCGAUAUUUCCGAUUGCGCUGCGGACGAGGUGCAUUUAGCACCGAGUCUUCGCUGCGAGAGGAAGUGCAAGUCGUAACAAGGUUUCUGUAGGAGAACCUGCAGAAUGAUCAUUUU